AGCUGAAGACAGACGCCUCAAAUCGCGGGGGCACAGGGAGAGCGGUCAGAUGUCCUGCAGGCAGAACCCCAGGGGAACCACUCCCAGGGGUGAAACCGUGCUGACUCGGAGGUAGUGUGCCACUUGGAAGCAGUGGGACCGUCUGGUGGUAGAUGCUUCACUUCUUCAUUUAUGACUCCACAUUCGUGGAAGAGAGCAAAGAACAAACCUAUUUCUGAAAUGUUUCUGGCUUCCAUAUGCCUCUGGCUUUUAGGAAAGCACAAGUGGCCUGCUUGGGGUCCCUCCUGGCUUGCUGGACUUCCCGUCACUUUUUGCCUGUCGUCUUCCAUGGUUCCUGCAUGGAUCUUGUUGCCUCAGGACCAAGCUGCCUUUGCUUUUCCACAAUGUCCAUGACUAUGUGGGGAAGGAAAUGGACCCUCAUGCUGACAGCGCAUGUCCACGUUACUAGUUUCCUUUAGAAAACCAUCUCCAAUGGGCCAGGCACGGUGGCUCAUGACUGUAAUCCCAGCACUUUGGGAGGCCAAGGCUGGCAGAUCACAAGGUCAUGAAAUCGAGACCAGCCUGACCAACAUGGUGAAACCCCAUCUCUACUAAUAAUACAAGAAUUAGCUGGGCAUGGUGGCACGCACCUGUAAUCCCAGCUACUCAGGAGGCUGAGGCAGGAGAAUUGCUUGAACCCGGGAGGUGGAGGUUGCAGUGAGCCGAGAUUGCGCCACUGCACUCCAGCCUGGUUAGGGAGCGAGACUGGUCUCAGAAAAAAAAAAAAAAAAGAAAGAAAACCAUCUCCAACCUUAACUCCAGGGGCGCCAUUCAUACCCUGUUCUAUAGAACCUGCCCAAGGUGUGCUCCUGAAGAAAGGGAAGGUGCUGACCUAAUGGCUCCGAGAACAGUAUUUUUGAUAAAGUGCAGUCUCUCAGCAAGUGUCCUCAAAGUGCUGGCCUUGCUCAUGCAGUAGAGCUGGGAAAGCUUAUUUGGGACUUGGGUACCACAUAAGAAAUAAAGAGGGAAUGUCAUACUAGCAGGACUUUUGACAAAAAAAGCCUGGUAUGAGAGGCCCUGACACUAAUAUGAUUCCUAUUCUCACUCAAGUUAAUAGAUCAUUUAACCAAUAGCAAAAAGAACCGGAAGUGUCCUCCCAAAGAGUACACUAUGGAAAGGGUGGGGGGAUGGAGUACCUUUACAGUGGAGAAAAGUACCCUUACACCACCUCUGCAGGGGAUCUAGGUCAACAUCAGCAGUUACAAGUUACAUUGACAGCAUGUGGCCUUGAUAUGAUGUGAUGAGAAUGGCUCUUCACCCCUGUGGUCUUCCUCCACAAAACCCAUAGCCCCAGUUAAAUCAUGAAAAAAGCAUCAGACAGACCCCAAUUGUGACCAGCACUCCUCAAAAUUAUCAGGGUCCUCAAAAAAAGGAAAGUCUGAGAAACUGUCACAGUCAAGAGGAGCCUCAGGAGACAAUGAAAACUAAGUGUCAUGUGGAAGUUUGAACAGAAUCCUGGAACAGAAAAUGGACAUCAGGUAAAAACUAAGAAAAUCUAGAUAGUGUGGACUUCAGUGAAUAACAAUGUGUUGAUAUUGAUUCAUUAAUUGUGACAAAUCCACUACGCUAAUUGCCUUAGUCUGUUCAGGCUGCAAUAACAAAAUACCAUGGACUGAGUGGCUUAUACACAACAGAAAUUUAUUUCUCACAGUUCUGGAUGCUGGGAAGUCUAAGACCAAGGCACUGCCAGAUUUGGUGUCUGGUGAAGGUCCAUCUCCUGGUCCAAACAUGGCUCCUUCUCACUGUGUCUUCCCAUGGUGGAAGGGACAAGAAUUUCUAAUUCCACUCAUGAGUGCUCUGAUCCCAAGACCUAAUCACCUACCAAAGCCCCCACCUUCUGAUAGCAUUACCUUGGGGCUUAGGAUUUGAACAUAUGAACUGGGGAGGACUCUGGGGAAACACAUUUAAACCACAGCACUAAUGUAGGAUGUUAAUAAUAAAGGAAACUGGGUGUGGGGUUUAUGGAAACUCUCUUAACUUGGUAUGAGGUAUAUGCAAACUCUCUUUAAUAUCUUCAGAAUUUUCCUGUAAACUUUAACUUUAAUCUGAACUUCUAAAAAUUAUAGUUAUACACGCAUACACAGAGAGAGAGAGAGAGAGAGCGAGAGAGAGAGAGAGAGAGAGAGAGAAGUUAUACAUAGCCUUCGUGUUGCAGGUCUAGCCUACACUUCUAGCCUUAUUCCCCCUGUUUAAACCUUAUAAGUCAGCCAAUAUAAUGAAAUUUCCUUAAGGUCAAGAUGCUACUAUGUUUAUUCUCCAAAAAAUUUGAAAAAUAAAUGAGUUUUCUUAAUUUCUUAGAAGACUCAAUAAAGUUGAGAUCAUAAAGUGUAAGUUAAGGAAGAAUUCUACCUGAAGAGACUCAUGAAACAAAAAUGAUGGUGAGGAAAGGGAGUGCUGUUUCAUUGACUAGAAAAGAAUUAGCAAAUUAAUCAGCACAUUGCCUUUUAAAUGUUCCACUUCAAGAGAUGCACACAUUUUCAGGCCCAAUGGUAUCGUCACUUCCAAUAAAGCUUUAUUGGUGGUAUCUGGAGAACGCUAUCCUAUUAUAUCCUUGGCUAAGCUCACAUAUGAGAGACUCUUUAAAGGAACAAUGCAAUAGUCUUGAUAUUCAUUGCAGACACUGGUUCUUGCCUACUCAAUAAUUAUUCCCUCACCUUCCUGACAAAGAACCCGACUUGUUCAGGUAUCUCACAAUGUGCUCAGGAAAGGUGGGCUCUUCCCCAGGUCCAUGUGGUUAACCAGAACUGCUCUAAAACAUCGUGAGAAUCCCAUUCACCUUUGCCAGUGAUUGGUUUAAGGGUAGGGAGAUUACCCAAUUCUGAACAAUGAUAUAGGAGAAGAAAGAAAUUUACUAGGGGAUUGAUGGGAACAGGUUAUUUUGUUCACUAUACAGGGACACAUAGUGAGAGGUGACAAUGUGCUAGCAGCCCUCACUCACUCUCAGCACCUCCUCAAGUGUGGGCGUGUGGCGUGGGACUGGCAGGCAGCUCUGCCCAUGGCCCCGAUGUGGGAUCCACUAGGCGAAGCCAGCUGGGCUCCUGAGUCAGGUGGGGACUUGGAGAACUUUUAUGUCUAGCUAAAGGUUUGUAAAUGCACCAAUUAGCACUUUGUGUCUAGCUCAAGGUUUGUAAAUGCACCAAUCAGCACCCUGUGUCUAGCUCAAGGUUUGUAAAUGCACCAAUCAGUGCUCUGUGUCUAGCUAAUCUAGUGGGGACUUGGAGAACUUUUACAUCUAGCUAGAGGAUUGUAAAUACACCAAUCAGCACUCUGUGUCUAGUUCAGGGAUUGUAAAUGCACCAAUCAGCACCCUGUCAAAACAGACCAAUCAGCUCUCUGUAAAACGGACCAAUCAGUUCUCUGUAAAAUGGGCCAAUCAGCAGGAUGUGGGUGGGGUCAGAUAAAGGAAUAAAAGCAGGCUGCCCAAGCCAGCAGUGGCAACCCGCUGGGGUGCCCUUCCACACUGUAGAAGCUCUGUUCUUUCGCUCUUUGCAAUAAAUCUUGCUGCUGCUAACUCUUUGGGUCCACACUGCCUUUAUGAGCUGUAACACUCACCGCGAAGGUCUGCAACUUCACUCCUGAAGCCAGCGAGACCACGAACCCACCAGAAGGAAGAAACUCAGAACACAUCUGAACAUCAGAAGGAACAAGCGCUGGACCCACCACCUUUAAGAACUGUAACACUCCCCACGAGAGUCCACAGCUUCAUUCUUGAAGUCAGUGAGACCAAGAACCCACCAAUUCCGGACGCUUUUUGGCGACCCAGAUGGGACUAUCGCCUAUCACCAAGUCGUGAGACCAUUGCCUAUCACUGAGUGGUGAGACUGUCACCUAUCGCCAAGCAAAUCGAGGCCAUCAAGCUACAGAUGGUCUUACAAAUGGAACCCCAAAUGAGUUCAACUAACAACUUCUACCGAGGACACCUGGACUGACCUGCUGGCCCUUCCACUGGCCUAAAGAGUUCCCCUCUGGAGGACACUACAACUGCAGGGCCCCUUCAUCACCCCUAUCCAGCAGGAAGUAGCUAGAGCAGUCAUCGGCCAAAUUCCCAACAGCAGUUGGAGUGUCCAGUUUAGAGGGGGGAUUGAGAGGUGACAAUGUGCUAGCAGCCCUCGCUCACUCUCAGUGCCUCCUCAGCCUCGGCGUCCACUCUGGCCAUGCUCAAGGAGCCCUUCAGCCCACCACUGCACUGUGGGGGCCCCUCUUUGGGCUGGCUGAGGCCAGAGCCGGCUCCCUCUGUUUGUGGGGAGGUGUGGAGGGAGAGGCAUGGGCAGGAACUGGGGCCAGCACGAGUUCCGGGUGGGCGUGGGCUCAGCUGUGGAGGGUGCACCGGGUCCCCCAGCACUGUUGGCCCACCUGUGCCAUGCUCAAAUUCUUGCCGGGCCUCAGCCGCCUCCCUGCGGGGCAGGGCUUGGGACCUGCAGCCCGCCAUGCCCUAACCCCCCCUGCUCCACGGAGCCUGGUCCCAUCGACUACACAAUGGCAAAGGAGUGUGGGCACGCAGCAUGGGAUGGUCGGGCAACUCCUCACGUGGCCCUGGAGCGGGAUCCACUAGGCGAAGCCAGCUGGGCUCCUGAGUCAGGUGGGGACUUGGAGAACUUUUAUGUCUAACUAAAGGUUUGUAAAUGUGCCAAUCAGCACUUUGUGGCUAGCUCAAGGUUUGUAAAUGCACCAGUCAGCACACUGUGGCUAGCUCAAGGUUUGUAAAUGCACCAAUCAGUGCUCUGUGUCUAGCUAAUCUAGUAGGGACUUGGAGAACUUUUAUGUCUAGCUAGAGGAUUGUAAAUACACCAAUCAGCACUCUGUAUCUAGCUCAAGGUUUGUAAACGCACCAAUCAGCACCCUGUGUCUAGCUCAAGGUUUGUAGACGCACCAAUCAGCACUCUGUGUCUAGCUUAAGGUUUGUAAAUACACCAAUCAGUGCUCUGUGCCUUGCUAAUCUAGUGGGGACUUGGAGAACUUUUACGUCUAGCUAGAGGAUUGUAAAUACACCAAUCAGCACUCUGUGUCUAGCUCAGGGAUAGUAAAUUCACCAAUCAGCAUGCUGCCAAAGCAGACCAAUCAGCUCUCUGUAAAAUGGGCCAAUCAGCAGGAAGUGGGUGGGGUCAGAUAAGGGAAUGAAAGCAGGCUGCUGGAGCCAGCAGUGGCAACCCAUUGGGGUCCCCUUCCACGCUGUGGAAGCUUUGUUCUUUUGCUCUUUGCAAUAAAUCUUGAUGCUGCUCA